rnacentral:rRNA from 1 species
UACGUAGGGGGCAAGCGUUGUCCGGAUUUACUGGGCGUAAAGAGCGUGUAGGCGGCCACGCAGGUCCGUUGUGAAAACUGGAGGCUCAACCUCCAGCUGUCGACGGAAACCGUAUGGCUAGAGUCCGGAAGAGGAGAGUGGAAUUCCUGGUGUAGCGGUGAAAUGCGCAGAUAUCAGGAAGAACACCCGUGGCGAAGGCGGCUCUCUGGGACGGUACUGACGCUGAGACGCGAAAGCGUGGGGAGCGAACAGG